UGCCAGCCGCCGCGGUAAUACGGAGGGUGCAAGCGUUGCUCGGAAUCACUGGGCGUAAAGAGAGUGUAGGCGGCCUUAUAUGUCUGACGUGAAAGCCCCGGGCUCACCCCGGGAAGUGCGUUGGAAACUGUGAGGCUAGAGUCUCGGAGAGGGAGGUGGAAUUCCAGGUGUAGCGGUGAAAUGCGUAGAUAUCUGGAAGAACACCGGUGGCGAAGGCGACCUCCUGGACGAUGACUGACGCUGAGACUCGAAAGCGUGGGGAGCAAACAGGAUUAGAUA
rnacentral:rRNA from 1 species